GAUGAACGCUAGCUACAGGCUUAACACAUGCAAGUCGAGGGGCAGCAUGGUCUUAGCUUGCUAAGGCCGAUGGCGACCGGCGCACGGGUGAGUAACACGUAUCCAACCUGCCGUCUACUCUUGGACAGCCUUCUGAAAGGAAGAUUAAUACAAGAUGGCAUCAUGAGUCCGCAUGUUCACAUGAUUAAAGGUAUUCCGGUAGACGAUGGGGAUGCGUUCCAUUAGAUAGUAGGCGGGGUAACGGCCCACCUAGUCUUCGAUGGAUAGGGGUUCUGAGAGGAAGGUCCCCCACAUUGGAACUGAGACACGGUCCAAACUCCUACGGGAGGCAGCAGUGAGGAAUAGUGGUCAAUGGGCGAGAGCCUGAACCAGCCAAGUAGCGUGAAGGAUGACUGCCCUAUGGGUUGUAAACUUCUUUUAUAAAGGAAUAAAGUCGGGUAUGGAUACCCGUUUGCAUGUACUUUAUGAAUAAGGAUCGGCUAACUCCGUG
rnacentral:rRNA from 1 species